rnacentral:lncRNA from 1 species
AACCUCAUCAAGAUAAGAACCAAUGAAAAUGAAGAUGCAAUGUUUGGCUGCCAAAGCUCAAAAAGUAGUCCCAAUUUUUUUCUGUUUCUUUUACUAUUACAAUCAUCUAUGCAAAUUAAAUCAGUAAAUACAUGAACAAAUCUCCCCUUGUACUGUACAUACAGAUAUCAUUAGCACUCUAAAUGUUCAAUUCAGAACUUAAGCAUACCAAAGGAAAUUGCCCAUGAAUAUGAACAUUUGAAUGAACUGUGAACAGGAAGUUCUUUCUUGGAGGAAAACAAAAUGGAGAUAAACUUUGUUGCUAGAAAUUUUAAAAUGGCUAUUAGACAGACAUUAGAAAAAAUGUGUUUAUCAGAAGUAUGUCCUCAGAAACACACAUGCAUGAAUCAUGAUCAGUGACAACACUGCAGAAUAGAUUGGGAUCACAGAGAGACAUCAUCAAACAGAUCACAUAUGUUUCAGUAUGAAAUUGUUGGAAUGAAGUUCCUGAACAUUACUUCAGUGCUUCUGAAGCUGCCUAAAACCAACAGAACUCUAAAAAUGUGUUUUUGUUGUUGUUGUAUAAACUGUCAAUAAAUUAUUAUUUAAUGAAUUUUGAACUUGAACAGAAG